rnacentral:rRNA from 1 species
GUGCCAGCAGCCGCGGUAAAACGUAGGAGGCGAGCGUUAUCCGGAUUUACUGGGUGUAAAGCGCGUGUAGGCGGUCCUGCAAGUGGUGCGUGAAAGCGCCCGGCUCAACCGGGCGAGGACGUGGGCGAACUGCAGGGCUAGAGGCAGGUAGAGGCGUGUGGAAUUCCGGGUGUAGUGGUGAAAUGCGUAGAGAUCCGGAGGAACACCAGUGGCGAAGGCGACACGCUGGGCCUGGCCUGACGCUGAGAGGCGAAAGCAUGGGGAGCGAACGGGAUUAGAAACCCCGGUAGUCCAUGCCGUAAACGAUGCUGACUAGGUGUGGCGGGUAUGAACUCCUGCCGUGCCGGAGCCAACGUGGUAAGUCAGCCACCUGGGGACUACGGCCGCAAGGUUAAAACUCAAAUAAAUUGACGG